UGGGGAAUAUUGGACAAUGGGGGGAACCCUGAUCCAGCCAUGCCGCGUGUGUGAAGAACGCCUUAUGGUUGUAAAGCACUUUAAGCGAGGAGGAGGGUACUGGUAUUAAUACUACCAGGUACUGGACGUUACUCGCAGAAUAAGCACCGGCUAACUCUGUGCCAGCAGCCGCGGUAAUACAGAGGGUGCGAGCGUUAAUCGGAUUUACUGGGCGUAAAGCGUGCGUAGGCGGCUAAUUGAGUCGGAUGUGAAAUCCCCGAGCUUAACUUGGGAAUUGCAUUCGAUACUGGUUAGCUAGAGUGUGGGAGAGGAUGGUAGAAUUCCAGGUGUAGCGGUGAAAUGCGUAGAGAUCUGGAGGAAUACCGAUGGCGAAGGCAGCCAUCUGGCCUAACACUGACGCUGAGGUACGAAAGCAUGGGGAGCAAACAGG
rnacentral:rRNA from 1 species